CCCGGGCGGCAGCUUACACAUGCAGUCGAGCGGAACGAUGGGAGCUUGCUCCCAGGCGUCGAGCGGCGGACGGGUGAGUAACACUUAGGAAUCUACCUAGUAGUGGGGGAUAGCUCGGGGAAACUCGAAUUAAUACCGCAUACGUCCUACGGGAGAAAGGGGGCAGUUUACUGCUCUCGCUAUUAGAUGAGCCUAAGUCGGAUUAGCUAGAUGGUGGGGUAAAGGCCUACCAUGGCGACAAUAUGUAGCUGGUCUGAGAGGAUGAUCAGCCACACCGGGACUGAGACACGGCCCGGACUCCUACGGGAGGCAGCAGUGGGGAAUAUUGGACAAUGGGGGGAACCCUGAUCCAGCCAUGCCGCGUGUGUGAAGAAAGCCUUUUGGUUGUAAAGCACUUUAAGCAGUGAAGAAAACCUAACGGUUAAUACCCGUUAGCGAUGACAUUAUCUGCAGAAUAAGCACCGGCUAACUCUGUGCCAGCAGCCGCGGUAAUACAGAGGGUGCGAGCGUUAAUCGGAAUUACUGGGCGUAAAGCGAGCGUAGUGGCUUGAUAAGUCACAUGUGAAAUCCCCGGGCUUAACCUGGGAACUGCAUCUGAUACUGUGAAGCUAGAGUAUGUGAGAGGGAAGUAUAAUUCCGGUGUACGGUGAAAUGCGUAUAGAUCUGGAGGAAUACCGAUGGCGAAGGCGGCUUCCUGGCAUCAUACUGACACUGAGGCUCUAAGCGUGUGUAUCAACAGGAUUAGAUACCUGGUGUCCACGCCGUAUACGAUGUCUACUAGUCUUUGGGUCCCUGAGGACUAGUGACGCGCUCCGCACAAGUAUACGCCCGGGGAGUACGCCGCACGUUAAACUCAAUGAUUGACGGGGCCCCACA
rnacentral:rRNA from 1 species